rnacentral:lncRNA from 1 species
UAACUAGAACUAUGAACUAGAAGGCUCUUGAUGAACUUGAAGGCGCUUGAUGCUUGAUGGCUUGAGGCCUUGAUGAAUAAUGAGGUUGGUUGUUGUCUCUAGGGGGGUCUGCCCAUGUAUUUAUAGUCCGGUGGGAGUCGCGCGCGUCGUCGGAUCAAACCGACUUAACCAAGGGCCGAGAUGACUCCUCAAAGGUGGCGGAGGAAGCUUUCGGAAGGGGGGCACCAAACCCUAGAGGGGGGCGCCGGCCGGCGCUAGGGUGGGGCCGGCCGGCCCCACCUGGUGGCGGCUGGUCCUCCCCUCGCGUCGGGUGUCUUCUAGAGUAUUCCUAAACCCUCUCACACUGUUUCCCGUGACGGAUACGUUUCCAUGUUUGAUUUGCAUUAGAGUCCCUAUUUUGCAGCUUUCCUGAAAUUCACCCUGGAAAAUACAGAAUAUACAAAACUCGUGGAAAUUGUUAGUUUAAACCCUAUACUAGUGUGUAUUCAUGUUCUCCUUUAGGUUUAAAGUUAUAAUAAAAGUUGACAUUAUCGACCGUCAACAACUCCCCAAGCUUACCUUUUGCCAGUCCCUUGGCAAACUGAGCCUAAGCAAUAUAUGUAUUGAGUUGUUAUAAUGUUUUUAUUCUUUUCCAAGUACACAUGCUCCCAAACAAAGAUUCUCCUCCGGAUUAGUCAAUACUUGCUCUAAUCCUCAAACUUACCCAUUUUACCUUUAACCAUGGGGAUUUAUAGCUUUUGCAUGAGUCUUGAGCAAUCAGAAGACAGAACAAUCAGGUCAAGCACUAUGUCUCAAAUUCUUGCAAAAACAUUAUUCUGGAGUUUUUUAUAAGUUUUUCAGAAUAAAACUCAGAGCUUAAUUAUAUGACACCCUCAAGUCUCUCAAUAUAUGUGGUUUUUAUGGUUCUCUCUUGAGGCAUUUAUACCUCCUAUAGCUAAAGAUAUAUAUGGUGGAGCUUAUAGAAGUGCUAACAAUAGGGAUAAGCUUACUUGCAAUGCCUGUAUUGUAAAGUCAACUAAUGGAUCCAAAGAGAGUCGAGGCAUAAAAUCAAACUAAGGUGUGCGUGUGUAUGGAAUAUGGUGGAUAGGUGUAUUUGUGGCUAAUUUAUAUUUCUUUGGGAAUAACUCUCUAUUGAGACUUUUCAGCAAAGACAUGGGCUAUCUUUAUUUUUUUUAUUAUUUUUUUAAUAGGGAGGCAGGCAUCUAGUACCCAUUGUUUUAAUUAUUGGGACACUUGUCCAUCUUUUACUUCCUUUUCUUCUUUUAUAUUUUUGCAUAGCCACAUGUAUCCUUUGAAUACAAUAAAUGAUAAAAGAGAUAAUAACAAGAACUUUGAACAUUAAAGACAAGGGUUAUCCUAUAGGUUGAUUAUUGGUGUUUAUUCCUAGUGUAGGAAUUCUGCAUAUAUGAACUGGAGUGUGUAUGUGAUCUUGAUUUAGAAAGCAUGACAAGACUCUCAUAAGGUAUAUGACAAAGGUUGACUAAACUCAAUGUAGAGCAAGCAGCAUAAAUGUGCAAAUGUCUUCCUAACUCUAAAUGUGUAUUAUAUGGCUUUGGUAGGAAUUAACACUUUGUCAUACAAGAGCUCAUCAUGUGGGUUUUAGAUUUUCAAAAUAAAUCUCCAGAACUUAGUAAUGCUAGGAAUAAGAUAAAUAGCAACUCAGACUUUCAAUGAUCAUAUCAACCAACUACCUAGACUUAGCUCAAGCUUAUGCCUCCAUAAAUUGUAGGUUUAGAGUAAAUCUUCAAAUUAAAAUAGUAAUGUCUAAAACUCGAGAAAAUCUGUUGUCGAAAUCUAGGUACUUGUAAAGAAUAGAGCAACUAUUCAUCAUUUCCAAAAAUUUAAAUGUUCAUCAAUUUUUAUUUAGCUCUAGUUUAGACCGACUCUAAACAGACUCUAUUACUUAACUAAUUAUGAACUCACAAAAGGCUCUAUGACUUGUGGACCUUCAUGUGCCCACAUAUAUUUGGUAUUUUUAUGACUAUAUAGACUCGAUAAUCGCUUAGGUAUAAUUACCUGAUAACUAGAGGAUGCUCCUCCCCCAAGCUGGAUGUUUGCAAUACUUGGUGUUGAUGUCCUUCAGAGCGAGCUAGCCAGUGGCAAACCUGGUGGGUGCAACCGAUAGACUCUCUCCUUGUUAUGAUGUUAUUCCUACAUAGUCAUACUCUAACAAGAAAACCAAACUCGAGGCUUGUAUUUAAUAAUGGGUUAGCGGUCAGCCAAUGAGCAAUUGAUUAUUCUUAUGAGCUAAUUUUAAUGUUGUCUGAUUUAAGCAGGAUUUCAUAUUUAUCAUCUUUUUGAAUUUUUCUAUUUAUGAUGCAG